GAUGAACGCUGGCGGCGUGCCUAAUACAUGCAAGUCGAGCGAACAGACGAGGAGCUUGCUCCUCUGACGUUAGCGGCGGACGGGUGAGUAACACGUGGAUAACCUACCUAUAAGACUGGGAUAACUUCGGGAAACCGGAGCUAAUACCGGAUAAUAUAUUGAACCGCAUGGUUCAAUAGUGAAAGACGGUUUUGCUGUCACCUAUAGAUGGAUCCGCGCCGCAUUAGCUAGUUGGUAAGGUAACGGCUUACCAAGGCGACGAUGCGUAGCCGACCUGAGAGGGUGGUCGGCAACACUGGAACUGAGACACGGUCCAGACUCCUACGGGAGGCAGCAGUAGGGAAUCUUCCGCAAUGGGCGAAAGCCUGACGGAGCAACGCCGCGUGAGUGAUGAAGGUCUUCGGAUCGUAAAACUCUGUUAUUAGGGAAGAACAAAUGUGUAAGUAACUAUGCACGUCUUGACGGUACCUAAUCAGAAAGCCACGGCUAACUACGUG
rnacentral:rRNA from 1 species